GGCUCAGGAUGAACGCUAGCGGCAGGCUUAAUACAUGCAAGUCGUGGGGCAGCAUGAGUAGCAAUACUUGAUGGCGACCGGCAAACGGGUGAGGAACACGUACACAACCUUCCUUCAAGCGGGGAAUAGCCCAAGAGAAAUUUGGAUUAAUACCCCAUAAUAUAUUUGAUAAGGCAUCUUAUUAAUAUUAAAGCUUCGGCACUUGAUGAUGGGUGUGCGGCUGAUUAGAUAGUUGGCGGGGUAACGGCCCACCAAGUCUACGAUCAGUAGCUGAUGUGAGAGCAUGAUCAGCCACACGGGCACUGAGACACGGCCCGACUCCUACGGGAGGCAGCAGUAAGGAAUAUUGGACAAUGGACGAAAGUCUGAUCCAGCCAUGCCGCGUGAAGGAUUAAGGUCCUCUGGAUUGUAAACUUCUUUUAUAUGGGACGAAAAAAGGGCAUUCUUGUUCACUUGACGGUACCAUAUGAAUAAGCACCGGCUAACUCCGUG
rnacentral:rRNA from 1 species